AUCUGCUUUCUGUGGAACUCCCAACCUCCUCCUCUUCACCACAGACACCGAGCAUGCUCACUGUAGAUUAAGAAGACCUACUUGGCAUCAAUGAGGAACAAAAUGCUUUAAGGAAGUCAGAACUUCAUUCUUACUUAUUCCCACUUACUGGUUCAGCUGUCACUUAGCAGUCACCUUCGCAUGUGACCCAAGGAAGUUUCAGGUCCCGUCCACUUCAGGGACUGCAGCAGCAACACUACAAGUGACCAGAGCCCCAUGGCUCAGUGCCAUCCACCAACAGCCUAUCUGCAUGCCCCAGCUCUGCGGAAUGAGUUGCAGUCAUUUUGGUUUUACAAGAAAACUAACCAUGUAGGGUAUCUGAGCAAACUGUACAAAAAAGCUGCUAUUGACCACGUUUUUUGGACAAGGAAAUAAGGAGCAGAGAAAUUGAAUAACUGAAUAAUCAAGGCCACCAUCUGGAGAGAGAGAGACAGUGUGAGCAGGGGACGGUCAGAG